rnacentral:rRNA from 1 species
AAUUUUAUUAAACUGGCGAACGGGUGAGUAACGCGUAGACAACUUGCCCAGGGAUUUGGGAUAACACCGAGAAAUUGGUGCUAAUACCCGAAUAACAUCACUUUGACCCCGGUCUUUGUGAUCAAAGGUGGCUUCGGCUACUGGUCUCUGGAUGGGUCUGCGUCUGAUUAGCUAGUUGGUGAGGUAAUGGCUCACCAAGGCGACGAUCAGUAGCUGGUCUGAGAGGAUGAUCAGCCACACUGGGACUGAGAUACGGCCCAGACUCC